rnacentral:rRNA from 1 species
GAUGAACGCUGGCGGCGUGCCUAAUACAUGCAAGUCGAGCGAACAGACGAGGAGCUUGCUCCUCUGACGUUAGCGGCGGACGGGUGAGUAACACGUGGAUAACCUACCUAUAAGACUGGGAUAACUUCGGGAAACCGGAGCUAAUACCGGAUAAUAUAUUGAACCGCAUGGUUCAAUAGUGAAAGACGGUUUUGCUGUCACUUAUAGAUGGAUCCGCGCCGCAUUAGCUAGUUGGUAAGGUAACGGCUUACCAAGGCAACGAUGCGUAGCCGACCUGAGAGGGUGAUCGGCCACACUGGAACUGAGACACGGUCCAGACUCCUACGGGAGGCAGCAGUAGGGAAUCGUCCGCAAUGGGCGAAAGCCUGACGGAGCAACGCCGCGUGAGUGAUGAAGGUCUUCGGAUCGUAAAACUCUGUUAUUAGGGAAGAACAAAUGUGUAAGUAACUAUGCACGUCUUGACGGUACCUAAUCAGAAAGCCACGGCUAACUAC